UCUUAGUAAAUUGUGGUCAAGAAAAAAUUAUUUAUUGGGUGAAAAAAUACAGCUAGUGUGAUGAAAUUUAUAUUAAAAUAAAGCUAAAUACAUACGUAAUAAGAAUACAUAAAGUUUAAGUGAAUUUGUUUAUGUUAAAUACGAGAAAUAUGUGUACAAAGUUUCUAACGGCAAUUUGUUUGUGUGGUUGUUUGUUUUUUUUUGCUUCGGCUGCUUGUUGUUAGAGAUGUGUUUUUUGUGUUUAUGUUUAUUUUGGUGUUAUCGAGAGGGAAAUCGAAAGUUGCUCAAUUUAGUGACAACUAAAGAUGUGUGUUUUUGAAAAAAGCAAAAGGAAACGGAAAAGGAAAUUGCUUAAGAGCUGAAGAUGUGUAUUUGCUCAAAAGUAAACGGAAAAAGGAAAUAUAUAAAUAAAAUCGAUAAUGUGUUAAAUAAAGAUGUGUAUUAAUGUAAAAAUGAAAAUAAUACAGGAAGUGAAAGGAAAUUAGUCAAAUUUGAUAUAUUACUACACAAUUUUACAGGAACAUAAAAAUUUUAAAAGACUUUAGUUUUUAUUGAAAUUGUGUGAUAAUUUGUAAUGCCAAAUAAUUUAUACAACAUUAAUUAAAAAUAAAAAACAACAAUUUGACUCACAAAAUUAAAGCAGAUUUAAAACGAUGUAAAACAAAAUCAAAAAGGUGGUGGUUUUAUUUCAUUUAGCUUUUUUCUGCGAAUUGCUACAUUUUUAAGUCAUAAAGUUCAAAAAAUCUUAGUGAGCUGCGAUCUUCGUAUAAUCUUCUGACUCUAAUGUUAUUUAAAAC